GCCUCAAGAUGAGAUCUCACUGGGAACUUGAUUCCCCUGAAGGGCCGUCGAAGACUACGACGUUGAUAGGCUGGGUGUGUAAGCGUUGUGAGGCGUUGAGCUAACCAGUACUAAUUGCCCGUGAGGCUUGACCAUAUAACACCCAAACA
rnacentral:rRNA from 1 species